GAAAGCACGACAUUGCUCACAUUGCUUCCAGUAUUACUUUAGCCAGCUUCUCGCUGGCUUUUUUUU
rnacentral:antisense_RNA from 1 species